rnacentral:rRNA from 1 species
UUUUUAUGAGAGUUUGAUCCUGGCUCAGGAUGAACGCUGGCGGCGUGCUUAACACAUGCAAGUCGAACGAAGCAUUUGCGACAGAUUUCUUCGGAUUGAAGUUGCUUAUGACUGAGUGGCGGACGGGUGAGUAACG